rnacentral:rRNA from 1 species
GCUCAGAUUGAACGCUGGCGGCAGGCCUAACACAUGCAAGUCGAACGGUAACAGGAAACAGCUUGCUGUUUCGCUGACGAGUGGCGGACGGGUGAGUAAUGUCUGGGAAACUGCCUGAUGGAGGGGGAUAACUACUGGAAACGGUAGCUAAUACCGCAUAACGUCGCAAGACCAAAGAGGGGGACCCUCGGGCCUCUUGCCAUCGGAUGUGCCCAGAUGGGAUUAGCUUGUUGGUGGGGUAACGGCUCACCAAGGCGACGAUCCCUAGCUGGUCUGAGAGGAUGACCAGCCACACUGGAACUGAGACACGGUCCAGACUCCUACGGGAGGCAGCAGAAGGG